UACGUAGGGUGCGAGCGUUGCCCGGAUUUAUUGGGCGUAAAGGGCGCGUAGGCGGCCCACGCACGUCCGUUGUGAAAUCGCCCGGCUCAACUGGGCGGGGUCAGCGGAUACGGUGUGGCUAGAGCAAGCUAGGGGGCAAUGGAAUUCCUGGUGUAGCGGUGAAAUGCGCAGAUAUCAGGAGGAACACCAAUGGCGAAGGCAGCUCGCUGGGACGGUACUGACGCUGGAGGCGCGAAAGCCGUGGGGAGCAAACAGG
rnacentral:rRNA from 1 species